UUUUUUUUUUUAAAUACAGAAUUUAAAACCAGCUUUGGCUAGUUUUCCAAAGCAGAUUGCACACACUGCACUUGCCAAAUUCUUAAUUUUAACACAAUAUUCCUUCCUAACAUAAUCAAAUGCUCAGGAGAACUAAAGAUCACUGUCAGUGUUCUUGCAGUGUGUGUCUGCAAGCAGCUCUGUAUUUUAACUUUACCCUAAUGACCCCAACCAUCACUGCUAUAAACUCCAAAUGUAUGGCAGCGAAUGCAUUUUUUCUCCUUUUGAUUGCUGGCAAAAUGGUGCAGUGUAUGUAGAGAGCAUCUGUUUUACAUAUACUUUCUAGCAUUACAGUAUCACUGCACUGUAGCUCACUGUGUUUUAGAAGAUGAAACAUACAGAGAAAUGUAAUGUCUGAGGUUUAGUGCCUUGAAUAAAAAACAACUAUAUUGUAGAGAAAGAACAGAAACAGUAAAUUACAGUUUUUUAUAACAGUUUCUGAUAGACACAUACAGUUAAUGUGCAGUAGCUUUUUAAUAUUAAAGGGACGAGACCCCCCUAGUUAAAGGACUGCUUUUAUUAGCGCCCUCUAGUUGACAGGUUUUAGAAUGAAACUGACCCUUGGCGACAUGGCAUAUCACUACUUAUACUGUACCUAUUAACUAUUUUCUAUCCAUUAAAUGUUAACUACUGAGAACUUGGGAUUUUGUUCAUGGGGACAUUUUUCUUUAACAUUCUUUGCUUUUGGGUAAAUGCAGUGAAGAUUUUGAACAUAUGGAAUAAACACAUGGAAAGAUUUUAACUUCAUUUCACUCCAUACUGUGUCUGCUGGUUGUGCACCUUGCUCAUUUUGCGGUCUUUCAAGUCUUCAGUCAGGAUCUAUCAGUGAAACUUUGCUUUUAAGGCCCUGUUGCCUCACCAGUUUUUUGGUAUACACCCCCCGCCCUCCUUUUCCACCCCUCACCCCUCUACCUCUGGUCAGGGUCGAUCAAUACUUCCCCUGUAGCUUAUCACUAAUGUGGAACUGGCUGUUUGUCCAAACUCUGCUCUGUCUACAUAAAGACUUGGACGGGACGGGACCCAAACCAAAAUGCACCACGGAUCACCUCGUGGACCUGCAGCUGCGGAUGCACUACUGGACUUUUAAGUGUUUGGGGAACAGAAAAAAAAAAAGAGUCGGGAGACAUAAAUGUAACAAGUUGGUGCAAAAAGAACAGAGAAAAGAGAGUAGCUGGGAGAAGCAGGGGCAGGAGACUGACUGCUGGGUAUGACUGAGUGGCUCUGGAAAGAGGAUCCACUUUAGAAAUUUGAGGUCAUCCAGGCACCAGUGUCUCUCUUAGCAGCACCAUCCAUCCGCAUAUCUACAGCAAACGUUGUCCUCCAGAGCUGUGGAGUGUGACAAUGGUGUUUGUGUCCUGUGUAUCAAACGCCAUUAUCACACUAAAUAGCUACAGUGUGAAAAGGACCUCAGUUAUUCCCUCUAUUUCCUGUUUUUUCCCCCCUUUCUCCCAUUUGUUUGCCUACACAUGCUGCAAAGCCUGAUAAUGUGUCCCCAUGUGUCGAUAGCGGCUAUAGCUUGGGACACGUUACACCAUGCAGGAGGGGCAGAGAUAGAAAUAGAUGUAGUGUGUUGAUACAUUGUACAUGAUCUCGAGCCUGUGAGUGUGACCUACUUUCUUUUGCAUUUGAGGUGCUAAUUUGCUGCCAGAGACAUUCUCCAGUAAGUAUAGAUAGGAAUAGACGGCCUAUUUGUUUUCAUGCUCCUGCCAUUUCUUUCGCUGUUAUCGUUCAAGCUUUUCCAACAUGUAAACAGGUCAUCUAAUUUAAGCGAUUGUAACACUGUUUUUUACGGCUGUACAAUUGUUUUUAAUCAUGCAAAUGAUGUAAAUAAAGUUUUGUUAUUUUU